GCUGGGUGUGGUGGUGCGCACCUGUGGUCCCAGCUACUUGGAGGCAGAGGUGGGAGGAUUGCUUGAGACCAGGAGUUCAAGGCUGUCGUGCGCUUUGAUCACACCUGUGAAUAGCCAACUGCACUCCAGCCUGGGCAACGUAGUGUGGUCCUGCCUCUU
rnacentral:SRP_RNA from 1 species